rnacentral:tRNA from 1 species
GCUGGGAUGGCCGAGUGGUUCAGGCAGCGGACUCAUAGCCCGCCCGACGUGGGUUCGAUCCCCACUCCCAGUA